UCCCAUCAUCCUUUGCCUUGUCUGAAAUGGCAUAUUUGCCACAGUUCUUUCUCACUUACUUGCAGCCAACACUGGCCAGGAGGCCCAGAGACCGCACAAGCGAGGGGAGUGAGACUGCCGCACAGAGGACAGAGGCAAUAAGAAAAGGAGAAAUAUUUCUCUGCACUGGAGUCUCUAUUAAAAUCGAAAACCAAAGGGAAGUUACACUGUCUUCACAAGGUCACGGUGCUGGCCUGGCUCUGAAGGAAACUCAUACAACUUAACAAAAGGAAGAUAAACAACCCAAUCAAAAAA